CCGACCGGCGCACGGGUGAGUAACACGUAUGGAACCUGCCCGCAGCAGGGGGAUAAGCGGAAGAAAUUCCGUCUAAUACCGCGUAACACCGCAGAGGGGCAUCCCUCGGCGGUUAAAGAUUCAUCGGCUGCGGAUGGCCAUGCGGCGCAUUAGCUAGUCGGCGGGGUAACGGCCCACCGAGGCGACGAUGCGUAGGGGUUCUGAGAGGAAGGUCCCCCACACUGGUACUGAGACACGGACCAGACUCCUACGGAAGGCAGCAG
rnacentral:rRNA from 1 species